rnacentral:rRNA from 1 species
GUGCCAGCCGCCGCGGUAAUACGUAUGGGGCGAGCGUUAUCCGGAUUCAUUGGGCGUAAAGCGCGCGUAGGCGGCCUGUCAAGUCAGGUGUGAAAACCGGGGGCUCAACCCGCGGACUGCACUUGAAACUGGCAGGCUUGAGUCUGGUAGAGGGAAGUGGAAUUCCUAGUGUAGCGGUGAAAUGCGCAGAUAUUAGGAGGAACACCAGUGGCGAAGGCGGCUUCCUGGGCCACGACUGACGCUGAGGCGCGAAAGCUAGGGGAGCGAACAGGAUUAGAUACCCUGGUAGUCCUAGCCGUAAACGAUGGGCACUAGGUGUGGGGGAUCAUCGACGUCUUCCGUGCCGUAGCUAACGCAUUAAGUGCCCCGCCUGGGGAGUACGGCCGCAAGGCUAAAACUUAAAUGAAUUGACGGGG